AGAACGACUCAGUCUAAGAGGAGCAGAGACAUCUAGGAUCUGAGCACAAAGGGUGGCACUUGAGCUAAGUUUUCCAAGCACUGUAGGAGUUUUACAAGCAUAUUUGGAGACAAGGAAAGCAAGACUUUUCUGAAGACCACACUGUGCUAGAGCUGAAAUUUGAAUUCAGGUCUGCCGAUGUUACAGCCCUCAGCCUCUCCAGAAUCUGAGGCUGCUUCUAGUGGAUCCUGGAGUUAAAAGUGGCCUGACAUACGAAAAACUUGAGUUACACCUGGAAUUUUAGUUUAAUUUACAAAGUAUCGAAUUAUGACUGGAAUGCUACCAGAUUGUACUUCCAGAUGGUCUCAGGUGUAGAUUUAACCCUUGAAGAGUUCUGGAAGGAAGAUUACAACAUCUUUUCCUCUGUGGAGUUAAUUGAGAAAUCCUGGGCCAAUGUUUCUCUAAGGACACUGAGAUCCGCCUGUGUCCAGGAGAGAGACUUUAAAGGCUAUGUAGAGGAACUGUAGCCUUCAAUAAAUCAACUUGAGAUACAACCAGCCCUCUUCAACGAAUUGAGUUCAUAAGUCAACAGUCCACUACAACAGAAAAAAACAUUGCAUUAUCUAAGUAUUUUGGUUAUAAAUGCUGAAAACACAGUUCAAAGUACUCGAACCCAAAGAAAAUAAUUAACACAAACACCAAUGG